rnacentral:rRNA from 1 species
CCUACGGGAGGCAGCAGUGAGGAAUAUUGGUCAAUGGACGAGAGUCUGAACCAGCCAAGUAGCGUGAAGGAUGACUGCCCUAUGGGUUGUAAACUUCCUUUAUAUGGGAAUAAAAUGUUCCACGUGUGGGAUUUUGUAUGUACCAUAUGAAUAAGGAUCGGCUAACUCCGUGCCAGCAGCCGCGGUAAUACGGAGGAUCCGAGCGUUAUCCGGAUUUAUUGGGUUUAAAGGGAGCGUAGGUGGAUUGUUAAGUCAGUUGUGAAAGUUUGCGGCUCAACCGUAAAAUUGCAGUUGAAACUGGCAGUCUUGAGUACAGUAGAGGUGGGCGGAGUUCGUGGUGUAGCGGUGAAAUGCUUAGAUAUCACGAAGAACUCCGAUUGCGAAGGCAGUUCACUGGACUGCAACUGACACUGAGGCUCGAAAGUGUGGGUAUCAAACAGGAUUAGAUACCCCAGUAGUC